rnacentral:tRNA from 1 species
GGGUGGUUGGUGUAGUGGUAACACGAUCGGCUCCAACCCGAUCAACGGGGGUUCGAUUCCUCCACCACCUG